GAUGAACGCUGGCGGCGUGCCUAAUACAUGCAAGUCGAGCGAACGGACGAGAAGCUUGCUUCUCUGAUGUUAGCGGCGGACGGGUGAGUAACACGUGGAUAACCUACCUAUAAGACUGGGAUAACUUCGGGAAACCGGAGCUAAUACCGGAUAAUAUUUUGAACCGCAUGGUUCAAAAGUGAAAGACGGUCUUGCUGUCACUUAUAGAUGGAUCCGCGCUGCAUUAGCUAGUUGGUAAGGUAACGGCUUACCAAGGCAACGAUGCAUAGCCGACCUGAGAGGGUGAUCGGCCACACUGGAACUGAGACACGGUCCAGACUCCUACGGGAGGCAGCAGUAGGGAAUCUUCCGCAAUGGGCGAAAGCCCGACGGAGCAACGCCGCGUGAGUGAUGAAGGUCUUCGGAUCGUAAAACUCUGUUAUUAGGGAAGAACAUAUGUGUAAGUAACUGUGCACAUCUUGACGGUACCUAAUCAGAAAGCCACGGCUAACUACGUGCCAGCAGCCGCGGUAAUACGUAGGUGGCAAGCGUUAUCCGGAAUUAUUGGGCGUAAAGCGCGCGUAGGCGGUUUUUUAAGUCUGAUGUGAAAGCCCACGGCUCAACCGUGGAGGGUCAUUGGAAACUGGAAAACUUGAGUGCAGAAGAGGAAAGUGGAAUUCCAUGUGUAGCGGUGAAAUGCGCAGAGAUAUGGAGGAACACCAGUGGCGAAGGCGACUUUCUGGUCUGUAACUGACGCUGAUGUGCGAAAGCGUGGGGAUCAAACAGGAUUAGAUACCCUGGUAGUCCACGCCGUAAACGAUGAGUGCUAAGUGUUAGGGGGUUUCCGCCCCUUAGUGCUGCAGCUAACGCAUUAAGCACUCCGCCUGGGGAGUACGACCGCAAGGUUGAAACUCAAAGGAAUUGACGGGGACCCGCACAAGCGGUGGAGCAUGUGGUUUAAUUCGAAGCAACGCGAAGAACCUUACCAAAUCUUGACAUCCUUUGACAACUCUAGAGAUAGAGCCUUCCCCUUCGGGGGACAAAGUGACAGGUGGUGCAUGGUUGUCGUCAGCUCGUGUCGUGAGAUGUUGGGUUAAGUCCCGCAACGAGCGCAACCCUUAAGCUUAGUUGCCAUCAUUAAGUUGGGCACUCUAAGUUGACUGCCGGUGACAAACCGGAGGAAGGUGGGGAUGACGUCAAAUCAUCAUGCCCCUUAUGAUUUGGGCUACACACGUGCUACAAUGGACAAUACAAAGGGCAGCGAAACCGCGAGGUCAAGCAAAUCCCAUAAAGUUGUCCUCAGUUCGGAUUGUAGUCUGCAACUCGACUACAUGAAGCUGGAAUCGCUAGUAAUCGUAGAUCAGCAUGCUACGGUGAAUACGUUCCCGGGUCU
rnacentral:rRNA from 1 species